UAGGCCUAACACAUGCAAGUCGAACGGCAGCACAGUAAGAGCUUGCUCUUAUGGGUGGCGAGUGGCGGACGGGUGAGGAAUACAUCGGAAUCUACUUUUUCGUGGGGGAUAACGUAGGGAAACUUACGCUAAUACCGCAUACGACCUUCGGGUGAAAGCAGGGGACCUUCGGGCCUUGCGCGAUUGAAUGAGCCGAUGUCGGAUUAGCUAGUUGGCGGGGUAAAGGCCCACCAAGGCGACGAUCCGUAGCUGGUCUGAGAGGAUGAUCAGCCACACUGGAACUGAGACACGGUCCAGACUCCUACGGGAGGCAGCAGUGGGGAAUAUUGGACAAUGGGCGCAAGCCUGAUCCAGCCAUACCGCGUGGGUGAAGAAGGCCUUCGGGUUGUAAAGCCCUUUUGUUGGGAAAGAAAAGCAGCGGGCUAAUACCUUGCUGUUCUGACGGUACCCAAAGAAUAAGCACCGGCUAACUUCGUGCCAGCAGCCGCGGUAAUACGAAGGGUGCAAGCGUUACUCGGAAUUACUGGGCGUAAAGCGUGCGUAGGUGGUUGUUUAAGUCUGUUGUGAAAGCCCUGGGCUCAACCUGGGAACUGCAGUGGAAACUGGAUGACUAGAGUGUGGUAGAGGGUAGCGGAAUUCCCGGUGUAGCAGUGAAAUGCGUAGAGAUCGGGAGGAACAUCCAUGGCGAAGGCAGCUACCUGGA
rnacentral:rRNA from 1 species